rnacentral:rRNA from 1 species
GAUGAACGCUAGCGGCAGGCUUAACACAUGCAAGUCGAGGGGUAGAGGCUUUCGGGCCUUGAGACCGGCGCACGGGUGCGUAACGCGUAUGCAAUCUGCCUUGUACUGGGGGAUAGCCCAGAGAAAUUUGGAUUAAUACCCCAUAGUAUUUUCGGUUGGCAUCAACUGAUUAUUAAAGUUUUUCGGUACAAGAUGAGCAUGCGUCCCAUUAGCUAGUUGGUAUGGUAACGGCAUACCAAGGCUACGAUGGGUAGGGGUCCUGAGAGGGAGAUCCCCCACACUGGUACUGAGACACGGGCCAGACUCCUACGGGAGGCAGCAGUGAGGAAUAUUGGUCAAUGGUCGCAAGACUGAACCAGCCAUGCCACGUGCAGGAUGAAGCAUCUAUGGUGUGUAAACUGCUUUUGUACGGGAAGAAACACCCCUACGUGUAGGGGCUUGACGGUACCGUAAGAAUAAGGAUCGGCUAACUCCGUGCCAGCCGCCGCGGUAAGAC